UACAGAGGGUGCGAGCGUUGUUCGGAAUUAUUGGGCGUAAAGCGCACGUAGGCGGAUCUUUAAGUCAGAGGUGAAAUCCCAAGGCUCAACCUUGGAACUGCCUUUGAUACUGGAGAUCUUGAGUCCGGGAGAGGUGAGUGGAACUGCGAGUGUAGAGGUGAAAUUCGUAGAUAUUCGCAAGAACACCAGUGGCGAAGGCGGCUCACUGGCCCGGUACUGACGCUGAGGUGCGAAAGCGUGGGGAGCAAACAGG
rnacentral:rRNA from 1 species